rnacentral:rRNA from 1 species
CGGACGGGUGAGUAAUGUCUGGGAAACUGCCGGAUGGAGGGGGAUAACGACUGGAAACGGUAGCUAAUACCGCAUAACGUCGCAAGACCGAAAGAGGGGGACCUUCGGGCCUCUUGCCAUCGGAUGUGCCCAGAUGGGAUUAGCUAGUAGGUGGGGUAACGGCUCACCUAGGCGACGAUCCCUAGCUGGUCUGAGAGGAUGACCAGCCACACUGGAACUGAGACACGGUCCAG